CAUGCAAGUGAUGUUAAAGCAGACAGGGACAUCUGCACUCUUUAGGAGAUUGAUGACUUGUUCUUGGGAAUCUCUCUGAUGCAUU
rnacentral:snoRNA from 11 species